GUUGGUGGCUUAACGCUGGGGUCACACCCGUUCUCAUUCCGAACACGGAAGUUAAGCCCGGUAGUGCCGAUGAUACUCUUUCAGGGGAAAGUAGGUAGCCGCCAGCA
rnacentral:rRNA from 3 species